CCCGGGCGCAGAGGCUACGCCGGCAGCCGUCUCUUAGGAGAUUUCUCCGCAGUGGGGACGGGGGUCAGGAUUUGCAGGCGAGCAAGGACAGAGAGGAGAAAUCGCACAGACUGUCAGCACAGAGCCUGACACAGGGCUUGAACCCACAAACCACGAGAUCAUGACCUGAGCCGAAGUCAGACACUUAACCAACUGAGCCAACCAGGCACCCCAUGAGGAAGCAUGAAUUUUUGGUGGCAUCUACCUCUCUCUGCCCCACUACAGUGUACCAGUGGAAUCAAGCAUAAUGGCAAGCCCAUAGUAGGCACUCAAUCACGGGUGGACCUUCAGGAGCCCUUUCCUCCACCAGCUAGUCCCCACCUUGCAUGCUAUCCUCUCCCCCAUGCUCUUUUCCUUACCCCUUCUUUUCAUCUUCAACUCUUUUCUCACUUUUUUGGGUCUCUACACAAGAAGAACUGAAAUGUGACUUUCUCAGUUAAGCUCAUAUUGUAGAGAUCAUACUGUCUUCAUGUACCUGAAACUCACAGGA